GUUGAAAAAACUUCAGAUAAUUUCAAACAGACUUUCAUCUACAUUUUCAGAUGGUUUUUUUCUAAAGAAUAUUUUGCUUUUGAUGUUAUCUUCAUAUAGAAAUAUCUGUAUACUUCAAAAACAUAAAGACCUAAAAAUAAACUGCAGAAAGCAUGGAAAGUUAUGGUGAAAAUGAGAACCCCACACUACCCUUUUCAUUUAAACAAGGAAAACUAAAGGUUAAAAAGUUAAAACAGCCAAC
rnacentral:lncRNA from 1 species